rnacentral:rRNA from 1 species
GAACGUGCUUGCACGGACUUGACGUUGGUUUACCAGCGAGUGGCGGACGGGUGAGUAACACGUAGGUAACCUGCCCCAAAGCGGGGGAUAACAUUUGGAAACAGAUGCUAAUACCGCAUAACAAUUUGAAUCGCAUGAUUCAAAUUUAAAAGAUGGCUUCGGCUAUCACUUUGGGAUGGACCUGCGGCGCAUUAGCUUGUUGGUAGGGUAACGGCCUACCAAGGCUGUGAUGCGUAGCCGAGUUGAGAGACUGAUCGGCCACAAUGGAACUGAGACACGGUCCAUACUCCUACGGGAGGCAGCAGUAGGGAAUCUUCCACAAUGGGCGCAAGCCUGAUGGAGCAACACCGCGUGAAGUGAAGAAGGGUUUCGGCUCGUAAAGCUCUGUUGUUAGAGAAGAACGUGCGUGAAGAAGCAACUGUUCACGCAGUGACGGUAUCUAACCAGAAAGUCACGGCUAACUACGUGCCAGCAGCCGCGGUA